CUCUAAGUUCUUUCGGUCGUUUUUUAUGAUCCCCGACUUUUCGUAUUAACUCUAAGUUCUUUCGGUCGUUUUUUAUGAUCCCCGACUUUUUGUAUUAUCUCUAAGUUCUUUCGGUCGUUUUUUAUGAUCCCCGACUUUUCGUAUUAGCUCUAAGUUCUUUCGGUCGUUUUUUAUGAUCCCCGACUUUUCGUUUUAGCUCUAAGUUCUUUCGGUCGUUUUUUAUGAUCCCCGACUUUUUGUAUUAGCUCUAAGUUCUUUCGGUUGUUUUUUAUGAUCCCCGACUUUUCGUAUUAGCUCUAAGUUCUUUCGGUCGUUUUUUAUAAUCCCCGACUUUUUCGUAUUAGCUCUUAGUUCUUUUGGUCGUUUUUUUUUAUCCCCGACUAUUCGUAUUAGCUCUAAAUUCUUUCGGUCGUUUUUUAUGAUCCCCGACUUUUUCGUAUUAGCUCUAAGUUCUUUCGGUCGUUUUUUAUGAUCCCCGACUUUUCGUAUUAGCUCUAAGUUCUUUCGGUCGUUUUUUAUGAUCCCCGACUUUUCGUAUUAGCUCUAAGUUCUUUCGGUUGUUUUUUAUGAUCUCUGACUUUUCGUAUUAGCUCUAAGUUAUUUCGGUCUUUUUUUAUGAUCCCCGACUUUUUCGUAUUAGCUCUAAGUUCUUUCGGUCAUUUUUUAUUAUCCCCGACUCUUCGUAUUAGCUCUAAGUUCUUUCGGUCGUUUUAUAUGAUCCCCGACUUUUCGUAUUAGCUCUAAGUUC
rnacentral:lncRNA from 1 species